rnacentral:rRNA from 1 species
GAUGAACGCUGGCGGCGUGCCUAAUACAUGCAAGUCGAACGAGGUCUUCGGACCUAGUGGCGAACGGGUGAGUAACACGUUGGUACCUACCUCGAAGUGGGGAAUAACUGCCCGAAAGGGUGGCUAAUACCGCAUAAUACCGCAAGGUUAAAGCAGUAAUGCGCUUCGGGAGGGGCCUGCGUCCCAUUAGCUAGUUGGUAGGGUAAUGGCCUACAAAGGCGACGAUGGGUAGCUGGAGCGAGAGGUUGACCAGCCACACUGGGACUGAGAUACGGCCCAGACUCCUACGGGAGGCAGCAGUAAGGAAUCUGCCACAAUGGACGAAAGUCUGAUGGAGCAACGCCGCGUGCAGGAUGAUGGCCUGCGGGUUGUAAACUGCUUUUAUACGGGAAGAUUAUGACGGUACCGUAUGAAUAAGGACCGGCUAACUACGUGCCAGCCGCCGCGGUAA